UGGGGAAUAUUGGUCAAUGGGCGAGAGCCUGAACCAGCCAAGUCGCGUGAGGGAAGACGGUCCUACGGAUUGUAAACCUCUUUUGUCGGGGAGUAAUAGGCGGGACGUGUCCUGCUGUGAGAGUACCCGAAGAAAAAGCAUCGGCUAACUCCGUGCCAGCAGCCGCGGUAAUACGGAGGAUGCGAGCGUUAUCCGGAUUCAUUGGGUUUAAAGGGUGCGUAGGCGGCUUGGUAAGUCAGCGGUGAAAUUCCAGUGCUCAACAUUGGCCGUGCCGUUGAUACUGCUGGGCUUGAAUGCGGAUGCCGUGGGAGGAAUGUGUGGUGUAGCGGUGAAAUGCAUAGAUAUCACACAGAACACCGAUUGCGAAGGCAUCUCACGAAUCCGCAAUUGACGCUGAGGCACGA
rnacentral:rRNA from 1 species